GUUGCCUCUCGGCCUUUUGGCUAAGAUCAAGUGUAGUAUCUGUUCUUAUCAGAGCGGAGAGCCGCUUGGUUUUGCUAUUUGAAAGUGCAUGCGAUCUUAUUAUCCUUUUGACGGCGAUUGAAGCUCU
rnacentral:snRNA from 1 species